GUGUACCCGCGGCAAGACGGAAAGACCCCGUGAACCUUUACUAUAGCUUGACACUGAACAUUGAGCCUUGAUGUGUAGGAUAGGUGGGAGGCUUUGAAGCGUGGACGCCAGUCUGCGUGGAGCCGACCUUGAAAUACCACCCUUUAAUGUUUGAUGUUCUAACGUGGACCCGUGAUCCGGGUUGCGGACAGUGUCUGGUGGGUAGUUUGACUGGGGCGGUCUCCUCCUAAAGAGUAACGGAGGAGCACGAAGGUUGGCUAAUCCUGGUCGGAC
rnacentral:rRNA from 1 species